rnacentral:lncRNA from 1 species
AGCGCGGGUUCAUCCGCGGAAACGGAGGCCUGGGGGUUCGAAGCAGAAGAACUCCCAGAACUUACGGGGACAGAAGAUUCAGAAGACAUUUUUUCUCGGGGGAAAACCUAAAGGGCCCUAGAAAGGCAAAUCGAGAAGGGAACGAAAUGCCAAAGGUCAACCCGGAGGAAGACACGAAGAGAAUGAAAAGACGAAAGAUCCCUAGGCGGUGAAAAGAAGGUGGGCACUAACCUAUCUUGCUCUGAGGACCCGGGGGGCGAGAGACGGAAGGCGCCUACGGCUCGAAAGGGCGUUCGCAAGAGCAGACUCUCGGGGAGAUGACAGAUGCCAGCGAAGAUCAAAAAUGGAGUAGGACGCCUGAAGGGGGGAGGACGGGUUUAAAUAGACCCUGGGAUCCGGCACCAUAAUGAUCUCGAAUCCCCCUAGGCCAGUCCGCGCUCGACACGUGUCCCACUCCCCGCGGCAGACGACUAAAGGCGGCUGGCGGUUGGCAGGGCCAUAAUUGCGUCGUACCUAGGACAGCGU